rnacentral:rRNA from 1 species
AAUACGAUACGCUAAGGCGUCGAAGUAGUGUAUGUCAUACUUCCAAGAAAAGCUUGCACUGUCAUAGAUAAAAAACGCCUGUACCAUAACCGACACAGGUGGGUAGGUAGAGUAUACUAAGGGGCGCGAGAUAACUCUCUCUAAGGAACUCGGCAAAAUAACUCCGUAACUUCGGGAGAAGGAGUGCCUUAUUCGUAAGGUUGCAAUAACAAGAUCCAAGCAACUGUUUAUCAAAAACACAGGUCUCCGCUAAGUCGUAAGACGAUGUAUGGGGGCUGACGCCUGCCCAGUGCCAGAAGGUUAAAGAAGUUGGUUAGCAAUUGCGAAGCUGAUAACUGAAGCCCUGGUGAACGGCGGCCGUAACAAUAACGGUCCUAAGGUAGCGAAAUUCCUUGUCGGGUAAGUUCCGACCCGCACGAAAGGCGUAAUGAUUUGGAUACUGUCUCGGAGAGGGGCUCGGUGAAAUAGACUUGUCUGUGAAGAUGCGGACUACCUGCACCAGGACAGAAAGACCCUAUGAAGCUUUACUGUAACUUGAAAUUGAAAUUGGACUUUAUUCGCGCAGUAUAGGUGGGAGGCGUUGAUUAUAAUCUUGUGGGAUUAUUGGAGCCAUCAGUGAGAUACCACUCUUGUAAUGUUAGAUUUCUAACUUUGAAUCAUUAUCUGGUCAAAGAACAGUUUCAGGCGGGCAGUUUGACUGGGGCGGUCGCCUCCUAAACGGUAACGGAGGCGUACAAAGGUUUCCUCUGAACGGUUAGAAAUCGUAUCUAGAGUGUAAAGGCAUAAGGAAGCUUGACUGUGAGACCUACAAGUCGAGCAGGGACGAAAGUCGGUCUUAGUGAUCUGACGGUACUGAGUGGAAAGGCCGUCACUCAACGGAUAAAAGUUACUCUAAGGAUAACAGGCUGAUCUCCCCCAAGAGUUCACAUCGACGGGGAGGUUUGGCACCUCGAUGUCGGCUCAUCGCAUCCUGGGGCGGUAGUACGUCCCAAGGGUUGGGCUGUUCGCCCAUGAAAGCGGUACGCGAGCUGGGUUCAGAACGUCGUGAGACAGUUCGGUCCAUAUCCGGUGUAGGCGUUAGAAUAUUGAGAGGAGCCUUCUUUAGUACGAGAGGACCGAGAAGGACAUACCUCUGGUGUACCAGUUAUCGUGCCAACGGUAAACGCUGGGUAGCUAUGUAUGGAGUGGAUAACCGCUGAAAUCAUCUAAGUGGGAAGCCCACCUCAAGAUAAG